rnacentral:lncRNA from 1 species
UGUGAACCCAAACUAGCUAACAUACAGAUUAACAAAAAGAUUGAACUCCUUCCACAGUUGCCACAGUGUGAAGGUGAAGCACAAAGGACAUGUAAAGAAAGCUAACUGAUUGAAGAAAACUGUGUUGAAAAGAAUGUAUUCUUGGUGAGGCUGAUGGUAAAUGUGUUUGAGGCAGCCAAAACAGGCUUUAAAAGAAUCACACAUCCUCUUUCGCCUGGCCUUCAGACAAUUUUCAAACUGGAAAUACUUGGGAAAGUAUUUUGAGGUCCUUCUGAACAUAUUUUUCUGAGAACUGUGCUGCCAAAAUGAAUUUUACCCUAAUUCCACAGAUUACCCCUAUGAUU